rnacentral:rRNA from 1 species
AUGGGGAGAGGAACUUGUUCCUCGAGUCGUUGAUUUCACACUGCCGAGAAAAGCCUCUAGCUAGAAUAACGGUGCCCGUACCGCAAACCGACACAGGUAGUCAAGAUGAGAAUUCUAAGGUGAGCGAGCGAACUCUCGUUAAGGAACUCGGCAAAAUGACCCCGUAACUUCGGGAGAAGGGGUGCUCUUUGAGGUUCACGCUUCGAAGAGCCGCAGUGAAUAGGCCCAAGCGACUGUUUAUCAAAAACACAGGUCUCUGCUAAACCGUAAGGUGACGUAUAGGGGCUGACGCCUGCCCGGUGCUGGAAGGUUAAGAGGAGUGGUUAGCGCAAGCGAAGCUACGAAUCGAAGCCCCAGUAAACGGCGGCCGUAACUAUAACGGUCCUAAGGUAGCGAAAUUCCUUGUCGGGUAAGUUCCGACCCGCACGAAAGGCGUAACGAUUUGGGCACUGUCUCAACGAGAGACUCGGUGAAAUCAUAGUACCGGUGAAGAUGCCGGUUACCCGCGACAGGACGGAAAGACCCCGUGGAGCUUUACUGUAGCCUGAUAUUGAAAUUCGGUACAGUUUGUACAGGAUAGGUAGGAGCCUUAGAAGCGUGAGCGCUAGCUUACGUGGAGGCAUUGGUGGGAUACUACCCUAAUUGUAUUGGAUUUCUAACCCGCAGCACUUAUCGUGCUGGGAGACAGUGUCAGGCGGGCAGUUUGACUGGGGCGGUCGCCUCCUAAAGAGUAACGGAGGCGCUCAAAGGUUCCCUCAGAAUGGUUGGAAAUCAUUCAUAGAGUGUAAAGGCAUAAGGGAGCUUGACUGCGAGACCUACAAGUCGAGCAGGGUCGAAAGACGGACUUAGUGAU